rnacentral:rRNA from 1 species
AUUGACCGCUGGCGGCAGCCCUAACCCCUCCAAGUCGAACGAGUGGCGGACGGGUUCGUAAUUUCUGGGAAACUGCCCGAUGGAGGGGGAUAACUACUUGCAACGGUAUCUAAUACCGCAUACCCUCGAAUGUGCCCCGAUGGGAUUAGCUAGUUGGGGGGGUAACGGCUCACCUAGGCGACGAUCCCUAGCUGGUCUGAGAGGAUGACCAGCCACACUGGAACUGAGACACGGUCCAGACUCCUACGGGAGGCAGCAGUGGGGAAUAUUGCACAAUGGGCGCAAGCCUGAUGCAGCCAUGCCGCGUGUAUGAAGAAGGCCUUCGGGUUGUAAAGUACUUUCAGCGAGGAGGCGUUACUCGCAGAAGAAGCACCGGCUAACUCCGUGCCAGCAGCCGCGGUAAUUC